rnacentral:rRNA from 1 species
CAUGUAGGCGGCAUGACAAGUCUGGUGUGAAAUAUCUCGGCUCAACCGAGAAAACGCACUGGAAACUAUCAAGCUUGAGUAUCGGAGGGGAAGCUAGAAUUCCUGGUGUAGGGGUGAAAUCUGUAGAUAUCAGGAAGAACACCGGUGGCGAAGGCGAGCUUCUGGCCAGAUACUGACGCUGAGAUGCGAAAGCGUGGGGAGCGAACAGGAUUAGAUACCCUGGUAGUCC